rnacentral:lncRNA from 1 species
UUGUGAGUGUGAUGCAGAAGUAUGACAGCAAUGGAUUGUUCUCUUCAGACUGGACCGAUGCGGUGCUGGGACUGCGAGGGAAGGAAGUUGUGGUGCAGGGAGAUGGUUGUGCAAUGGAGGGGCUGUGCAUUUGCUCCACCGAUGACCACUGCGCUCCUAAACUAGGCUAUUAUUGUCGACCUGGGGAAGUCUAUGAGCAGGCUCGAGUUUGCCGGAAGAUAAAAUCCGUGGAAGCUGAUGGUUUGGCAUGGAGCGCAUGAUACCAUUCACAUUCAUUUGCUGUGAGGUUUAUUUCUGUGUCACUUCCUCUUCGAAUAAAGGAUGAAAUGUCAGUCAAUAAUUACUACAUAGUUUAUUAUUGUGAUAUUAAAGCAAGCGUCGAUAAAUGCAAUAUUGUAUGGGACGCAGAUUACAUUCCUCCCGAUUUAUCUGUACAACUCCAAGAUGACUUAUACAAGUCAUUCUAUAGAACUAUAAUGUCUUAAUAAAUUUUUUUUGGGAAAAAAAUUAGGACAUAAUUUCUCAUUAUUUUUCAUAGCAAGAUCCCAUUUUGAAGGAAACGAACGCUCUCCAGUAUCCUUUGCAUGAAAGGAACGAGGAAGCAAGAAAUAAUUGUGCCAUUCUUAACGCCAUCGUGUGGAGAGAGAUAGUAUGUUAACGCGAUAUUCUUCGCUAUCAUUUCUUAAAAUAAUAAUGAUGAUUAAUGAUAAUAACCUGCGACUCACGUAAAUGUUCUGAUUAAUUUUACAUUAAUUACGCUUGACCCACGUUUCGUGACACAAAUGAAAUGGUAGUUCACACCGAUUACAUUUCAAAUUUUUGACUCAAAGCUCGUCCUAUGGAUCGCGAGAAUAAACCAUAUGGUAAGAAGCUACAUAAAUAUGGAAAUCACAAAGGAGGGUGAUUACUGUAAUUAACCCUUCCUCGAUGCCCCCAACUCCAAGAAACUACUGCUCUCUCUAGGUAACUCUACGGCGCAGCAUCCAAUCUUAUGUUUUUUCCUUUCUCAUCCUCGCAGUAUAAUUUAGAGAUAGCAAGUGGUCGCACCAUGAUCGAGGGAAACAGCAGCGAGAGCAAGCUGAGCCAGUACAUCAGGCCCCCGACCGGGAGCUGCGGCAUGCCCCGGACUUGUACGAUAGCAGCAUGGCCGGGAUCGCCGGCAAGGCGCAGUGUGGCACCGUCAUCGCGCUGUCUUCGCGCCUAUGGCUUUGGGCUGUGCUCGCGGACGAGCAGCAGCGAGGAAGAGAUCAACGACCUCAUCGGCGCCGUUUGCAAGAGCAAGAUGCGGGCCAUCCCGGUGGAGGAUGGGACGCCGGUGCCGAGGAGCCACAGUGUGGCGACGUUGAGGAUAGACGAAGACAAGCCGUGUGACUUCGAGGACGACCUCACGGUGGCCCUGGGGCCAAGGAGCUGUGGCUACGAUGUUGCCACCGAGAGGAAGGUGGGCUUCUAAUAAGCUUCAAGUUAGCUUGUGCGGUGAUCUAACACGAACAGUAAACAUCCGAGCUUAUAUAUUGUACUGCUUUCGAGGGAGGAAAUAAGCAAUUCGUUGAGCCGUUGUCAUUCUUUGGGAACCAAAACUUAUUAGGAGAUAAAUCGAAUAGUAGAUAUUCGUCGCUUCUUUUAUGAAGCCUUGUUGUAUUUUACCUACUCACCACGUCUUGUGAUAAUCUCAUGUAAUAUCUACACAAAAUAACUAAGUUUUAGAUCGGGCAUGACAUCCUCAAGGAAUGAUUUUUUAAUAGACUACAGUGUUUAUUUAUGUGAGGAUUUGGCAUGCUUUUUUCAUCUUAAAAAAGGAAAUGUUAAAUUUCUAAGAAAAACCUCCUAACUUUAAGAAUUUAUCAAAUAACCCUCCAAUCUUGAGAAAUUUUUAUAGAGUAUUUCUUUUUCUUAAAUGAUCAUUCUACCCAUAUUGAUUGUCGCCUUUACCCUUGCAUUGUUAUUGCUGUGCUUGCCGGUGGCCUUCGCACAAGGAAGGAAGGGGUGCAAGAGUUGUCAUCUCCUUCCUGCACCACCUCCCCUCCCUUCUGCAUGCUGGACUUAUUGCUUACAGGCCUCACGCGAGGAAGGAGAAGGUACGAGGGCUAUUAUCACCUUUGCAGACCUCACUAACCCUACACUAACGCCUUGCUCACAACCCUCGCAUGAGAAAGGAGAGGACGUGAGGGCUGGGAUAGUAAUUCAAAUCCAAUCAAGGUCUAUUCCAAAUCAGUCACUAUUUGUAAUGCACUAAAUUUGUAAAACUAGGUUGAGGGGCAUUCUUGACAAAUAUUCCUUCAACGGCGAAUUGAAUUUUUAGGUUUGGACUAGUCGAUGAAGUGAAGUCAUAUCUUAGGAGUACAUGGGAGCCCUUUUUAUGAGUGAUACUAAGGAUGAUUAUUCCUAGAAUCACCGAUCGCAUAGGCCAGCCAUGUCAACCACGGGUUCAGAUGAUUGAUUAUCUGGUCAUGUAUCACCCCUUUAUGAGUAUAUGUCUUACGACCUGAUCAUCAUUUGUCUAUCGCGUGUGAUCCUCAUGCUCUUUGGCAAUCGAUCAGUUGGCUCAUUGGUCAUCGGCAAUGUUGUAUUUGACAUGUCACUUGUCACCUAUCACUUGCCCCCAACUUCUAGGUUGAUAGAUUGUAGGGCUAUCGAGUUAAGAAGUGCUCUAGCUUAUGCUUUUAACACUGAUAGUGGAUUUGUUCGUCAUCUUUUUGACAUAUGUCAUAGAAAUGCAUGUUCUGUCCGUUAAAGCUAUUCUAUCCAUUUAGUAUGUUUAACGCAUUCGGUUCAUUUAACCCGUUCUAUUCAUUAGUUGCUCUCCCUCUAACAUACAUUCCUUAAUAUAUCUUGGUUGCUCUCCCUCUAACAUAUCAGUAUAAAUUUUAGUUGUUUGAGUUGAGAUGAUAACUUAGAUCUAUCUGACGUUCAUUCCAAGUUAGUCUAACUCUAGAAAACCUACAAAUGCCCUAUCGUCGAUCAAGUCAGACUUGUCAGCCAAUACUAAAGUCAAGUCGGGUCCUGGAAGUGUACAUAAGAGUCUCUUUUAUUAGUAACUCUAAGAAUGGUUAUGUCUGGAAUCAUUGAUGGUAAGAGGGGAAUAUGUGCCACAUUCAAGCUGAGACUUGGCAUUCGUACAAGUAAAUGGUUGAUGUGAUCCGGGAGAGAGCAAGGCAUGUAAAUGAUUCAUAACAAGGGAACGUCUCUUACAAGUUCUCCAUUGACAGGUUCUUCCGACUUAGAAUUGGUCUAAUGUUUUCCGGCUUCUCCGUACCUCAGGAAAUGUUGGGUCUAGCCCAUACGUCAGCUUGGACUAGAUAAUUAAAUUUUUGAGCUCAAAUCAAUAAUUAAAAAAAAAAACUGCCUAUAGCGUUUUGACAAGCGAACGAUGGCGACGCACAGUCAAAUUAACAUAGAAAGAGAAAAGAGAAAAAAAAUAAGAUUUUGAGUUUUUCUUAGUUAACGAUCAGAGUCAAACUUGGAUCCAAAUUAUACAUGAAAAAUCUUUACAGUAGCCAGCUCUACAAUCCGCUGAUUUGUAGUUUACCCUUUAUGAGGUAUUUUCCAACUAUACUCAUUUUGUGAGACAAAAUUCUUUUUUUGAUGAGAUUCAUUCAUGUGAUGAUGAUAUACUAUUCUUGAGUCAAGAUAUGUGAUUUUGAUGUUAUUAUGGUUCUCUUGUUAUUUUAAAGAAGACUUAUUGUAAACCUAUAAUUAUUAUUAGUGAUAGUGGAAGCUUGAAGUGGACUACGAUCCCUAUUAUUAUUAUUAGUGAUAGUGGAAGCUUGAGGAGGACUACGGUACGUGGUUUUUUCCGCAUUAGGUUUUUCACGUUAAUAUUUGGUCUUACUUUGUGAUUGAUUCAUUGUUUUGUUAUUUAUGUUGUUCUGGUUUAUAUGUACUUUUGAUAUCAAGCUGGUUUUUGAUGAGAAACUUAUUUUAAUAGACAAAAAGAAAAAAAAUUAUUUUAUUUUAAUAGGUUUUUCCCAACAAGAAAUUGAGUGAAGAACUCUAUUUAACCGACUUCAAGUCGGCACGACCCUCUUCGCAUCCAAUGUUAGUGUAGCGCUAUGACCUAGGAAGAAGAAGAGGGAACAAGCUGAUGCGGUACAUCAAGGCCUCUCAUCGAGCACUGCUACGUGCCCGGGACUUGUACGUGAACAGCAUGGCUGGAUGCGCCAGAAGGGCCCAGGGCGAGCCGACGAUCAUCGCGAUGCCGCACGCCCAGAGCCACAUAUAUACACACACAAACGCGCACACACAAUAAAAGUAAUAUAAUUAUUGAUGCCCAUGCAAAAAGAUUUUAUAUCAUUUUUAUUUAAUUCGCUCACGUGGAUCAAUCGAGUUGUCCAUGUGUUAUUAUCCAUUAACUUGCUUUUAUCUAUUAUAUAAUAACGAUUGGAUCAUGAGCUGGCUUUCUCAUCUGCGUGCCAAUCCAAACGCUUCUAUACUGUGCCAUCGACGACUUCAAUAUCUUUGAUUUGCUCACAUCUCAAAGCCAAAAAAAAGGAAAAAUGAUGAGUACCUACAGUAUAUGACAAUUAGUUAGACCGAUUCUUCUAAAUUUUCUGAUCCCAUCGUGAGGCGUGCAUGACCAGCGUACUUUCCCCACUGUAUUUUACUCGACCAUCACUAACCUCACCGCUAUUAUAGAAAUAGUAUGUCAACACGAUCUUGGCUGUCAUCANNNNNNNNNNNNNNNNNNNNUUUUCUUACAAUAAUAAUAAUGAUAAGAACCUUGCGUCCCAAGUUGGCUCACGUGAUUGAAAUAAAUGACUCGAAUUGGGAACAAUACCCAUAUGCAGAUUCAUUGGGAUGGCAGAAUCUCUUGUUAAGUCAACGGGCUUUACCUCCCUUAUUUUAUAUGAAUUUUUUUCUGACACCUAAUAAUUUUGUAAACAGUGAUCAAGAUAUCGAAUUCACAUUCUCCUAUAUACACAUUACAUACCCAUAUGCAGACCAACUCUGGACAGUCAUCAUGGCCGCCACCUACUUUGCCCUAUUCGCCUCCGGCCUCGCCGUCUUGCUUCUACUAGUCCAAGGAUCGCCGCCAGGGCCCGUUGUCCAGUGCCGGUCCGGCAACACUAACUGCACCGUGACCAACGGCUAUGGAGCCUUUCCUGAUCGCAGCACCUGCUGCGUCGCCGCGGUCGCGUACCCUUCCACCGAACUGGAGCUCCUGUUAGCUGUCUCCGACGCCACCGAGAAGCAGCAGCACAUGAAGGCUGUCACGAUGUACUCCCACAGCAUCCCCAAGCUGUCGUGCCCCGGAGGGCCGAGCGGCCAGGGCCUGGUCAUUAGCACCCAGCGCCUCAACCGAUCGGUGAGCGUGGACAUGGCCACCUCGCGGAUGACGUUCGAAGCAGGGAUCACACUUAGGGAGCUCCUUGACGCGGCGGCCGCCCGUGGCCUGGCGCUACCCCACUCGCCGUACUGGCAAGGGAUGACGCUCGGCGGCCUGCUGAGCACCGGCUCCCAUGGGAGCUCGGUGUUCGGGAAGGGCUCGGCGGUGCACGAAUAUGUGGUAGGGAUGAGGCUGGUGGUUCCAAGUCCGGCCCCGGUGAACGGAUACUACGCCAAGAUCGUUAAUCUUGGUGAGGAUGAUCCUGAUCUCUUGGCUGCCAAGGUUUCUCUCGGUGUUCUUGGAGUCAUUUCUCAGGUAUGUGUGUGGUGACCUACGUGUUAUUCUUUGUUCUUUACACGGAUUGAGAUCCAUGUGAUAACUCAUCUUAGUUCUUCAUGGUGGUUCUUCCAACCACGUCAAGUACUUUCAUAAGCUGAGUGUACAAGAUUUGCCACGUUUCGAUGCUAAUUAGGUGCAACUAUAUCUUUAAUUCUUCAUGAUAUAAUAGAGAUCAUCCUACUGUUAUUAGCAACGCUGAAUACAUCCUAUCGUCAGUAAAAUGUCGAGACAGAAAAAAAAAACUUGAUUUCUAUCAAAUCACUUUACAAAGGAAGACUUGUUCUUUUCCUUGAAUCUAGAAAGUUACGUAAAUAAUAGGCUUUUGAUGAUCGCAGUGGACUUUACUUUUAAUCUUUCCUUCUUUUCUUGCUUUGCUUGUCUUCCUUGUUUCAAAAUGGGCUGAUGCAAACCUUUGAACCGUUCUAAUGAUUCCAUGUACCUUCCCUCGUCGUUUAUCGUAACUACACAACAUACUUGAGUGUUAUGGAACAUAUGAGCACAUGCAAACCCACAGAGACAAAGAUCAGAGAAAAAGCAACCAUUGCAAUAACAGCUACAGUGACGUUGAUGAUGACUCGGUGUAAAUGAGAGUGCCCCUUCCUUCACAUAUGGAGCCUCGAGCAGGGCAAGAGGCAGGCAGGUCCAUGCUGCCUUGCCUUGCAGAGCUUACGACCGGGCCCACUAAUUGCCUUAAAAGCCUCAGUAACAAUUAUUAGGUUGAAGGACGAUAGGGGAUGUCAGUAGUUGUAGUUCUUGUUUCAAUCUUUUUGCCUGAAUAGCUGAAAAGAGUUGACUAGCGAUACAUGUAAGCUUUUGUUCUUCUGCUUCAUUAUAAGUAACCUAAGAAUUACUUGAACCGAUCGAGCAGGUCACCCUCCAACUUGAGCCAAUGUUCAAGCGAUCCAUCACCAACAGGGUCGUAAGCGACGUUGGCUUCGAGCAAACCAUCUCCUCGUACGCUGUCACUACAUACUAUGGAGACAUCAGCUGGUAUCCGUCACAACGCAGAGUGGUGUACCGAGAUGAUAUCAAGGUCCCCAUCACCACCGAAGGAAAGGGUGUAAACGACUACUUAGGGUUCCGAGCGCAGCCCACCCACGUCGGAGCCUCUCUACGUGCUUCAGGUCUUAUAAAUUGCAGCUUUUAUUUUGCUUGUCAAACUUAAUGUAGUGUUCGAGCAGUAUUAUGCACACAUUUACAUCGACAUUUCGUCCGAGAUUUGUACUAAGAAGGCUUCUUUUGUCCUCUACCAUGUGUUUGUGUCUGUGAAUGCAGAGGAACGAGUGGAGGCAACGGGAAAUGCGGAAGGCAAAUGUGUGCUGUUCAGAUUGCAAGUUGAUACUUUGAUUGCGACCGGCAUGGGCCUUAAGAACAAUGACGGCGGCUUGUUAGAAUUCACCGGCUAUCCGGUCGUUGGAAACCAAAGCGACAUGCAAUCCUCCGGUAGGUCCUCCAAUUAUCCGAAGAAUGUAUAUGAUGACACAUGUUACACCUGUAUUAUAUAUUAUAUGGUCUGAGCCAAAUUCACUCCUGUAUUCUGUAUUAGUCUGAACCAUCUUCUCUCCAGGUUCGUGCCUAAGAAGUGCAGAAGACAACCUUCUCACGGCCUGUGGAUGGGACCCUCGCUUUGCUGGGUCCUUCUACCACGAAACCGCGAUAAGUAUCCCCUUCACCACCGUUGCAGACUUCAUCGCCGACGUCAAGAAGCUCCGCGACGCCCACCCCAACUCGCUCUGCGGCACCGAGCUGUCCUUGGGCUUCUUCAUUCGCUUCCUCCGCAACUCCACGGCCUAUCUUGGCAAAACGGACGACGUGGUGGAGAUCGACAUCACAUACUACCGUUCCAGGGAUCCAAAACGGCCGCGACUCUAUGAGGAUGUGCUCGAGGAGAUCGAACAGAUGGCCUUGUUCAAGUACAAUGGGCUGCCGCACUGGGGGAAGAACAGAAAUGUCGGCUUCCUCAAUGUCAAGAACAAGCUGGGGGCUAAGUUGGCCAAGUUUGUGAGUGUGAUGCAGAAGUAUGACAGCAAUGGAUUGUUCUCUUCAGACUGGACCGAUGCGGUGCUGGGACUGCGAGGGAAGGAAGUUGUGGUGCAGGGAGAUGGAUGUGCACUGGAGGGGCUGUGCAUUUGCUCCACUGACGACCACUGCGCUCCUAAACUAGGCUAUUUUUGUCGACCUGGAGAAGUCUAUGAACAGGCUCGAGUUUGCCGGAAGAUAAAAUCCGUGGAAGCUGAUGGUUUGGCAUGGAGCGCAUGAUACCAUUCACAUUCAUUUGCUGUGCGGUUUAUUUCUGUGUCACUUCCUCUUCGAAUAAAGGUUGUAAUGUCAGUCAAUAAUUACUACAUAGUUUAAUGAUGAUUAAUGAUAAUAACCUGCGACACACGUAAAUGUUCUGAUUAAUUUUACAUAAAUUACACUUGACCCACGUUUCGUGACACAAAUGACAUGGUAGUUCACACCGAAACUACUGCUCUCUAUAAAUUACUCAACGGCGCAGCAUCCAAUCUUCUGUUUGUUCCUUUCUCAUCCUCGCAGUAUAAUUUGGAGAUAGGAAGUGGUCGCACCAUGAGCGAGGGAAACAGCAGCGAGAGCAAGCUGACCCCGUACAUCAGGCCCCCGACCGGGCCGCUGUGGCAUGCCCGGGACUUGUACGAGAGCAGCAAGGCGCAGAGUGGCACCGUCAUCGCGCUGUCUCGCGCCUAUGGCUUUGGGCAGUGCUCGCGGACGAGCAGCAGCGAGGAAGAGAUCAACGACCUCAUCGGCGCCGCUUGCAAGAGCAUGAUGCGGGCCAUCCUGGUGAAGGAGGAUGGGCUGGUGCCAAGGAGCCACCGAGUGGCGACGUUGAGGAUAGACGAUGACAAGCCGUGUGACUUCGAGGACGACCAAGAGGAACGAUGCCAAGGAGCUGUAGCUACGAUGUUGCCACCAAGAGGAACGUGGGCUUCUAAUAAGCUUCAAGUUAGAUUGUGCGGUGAUCAACACGAACAGUAAACAUCCGAGCUUAUAUAUUGUACUGCUUUCGAGGGAGGAAAUAAGCAUUUCGUUGAGCCGUUGUCAUUCUUUUGGAACCAAAACUUAUUAGGAGAGAAAUCGAAUAGUGAAUACAGAAGAAGAUAUUCUUCACUUCUUUUGUGAAGCUUUGUUGUAUUUUACCUACUCACCAUGUAUUUUACACAAAAUAACUAGUUUUAGAUCGGGCAUGACAUCCUGAAGGAAUGAUUGUUUAAUAGACUACAAUGUUUAUUUAUGCGAGGAUUUGGCAUGCUUUUCUCAUCUUAAAAAAAGGAAAUGUUAAAUUUCUAAAAAAAGACCUCCUAACUUUAAAUUAUCAAAUAACGCUCUGAGAAAUUUUUUUAGAGUAUUUUUUUCUUAAACAAUCAUUCUAUCCAUUGUCAACUCUAUCCAUGCAUUGUUAUUAUUGUAUUUACAUGUGGCCCUCGCAUAAGGAAGGAAGGGGUGCAAGAGUUGUCACCUCCUUCCUGCACCACCUCUCCUCCUCUUGUCAUGCUGGAUUUGUUACUUAUAGGCCUCACUCGAGGAAAGAGAGGGUACGAGAGCCAUUGCCACUUAUGCGGACCCCACCAACUCUAUCCUAGCGCCUCGAUCACAACUUUCAUAUGAGAAAGGAGGGGACGUGAGGGCCGUCAUCGUUUCUGUGGACCUUACUAGCCCUAGGACCUUGCUAGACUCUAUUGGACUUGUUGCCCGUAGCCCUUACACAAGGAAAGAAGGGUUGUGAGGGUCGACGCCACCACCAUCUUCACAGACCACUACGACCCUGCUUAUAUGCACUUCACUCGUAACCCUUGUGCAAGGAAGAAGGUGGCACAUGUGCUAUCGUUGCCUUUGUGGAACCUAUUAGUCUCCGUCAAACCUGUUGUCACUCUGCACCACCCCCCCUUUCCUCGCACGAGGGCCAUAGUGUGCAAGGGUUGUGAGUGACAGAUUAUAUGAAGUAGAGGAGAGGAUAGGUAGUGCAUGGAGUAAGGGCACAAGUGAUUAUAGAGGGAGGAGGAGAUAACUAUAGGUCUAAUAGAAAUAGAGAUAAAAUAAUAUUUUUAUAUAAUCAAGAUACUCUAUGAAUUUCUUAAAGUUAAAAGGCUCUGUAAAAAAUUCAUAAUGUUAAAUCUAAAAAAAAAAUAAGGAUUUGACGUGCGUCCGACAAGCCUCCUUCCUGGAGAGGAUCAACACACAGCUAGUUAGUAGGGGAUUCAGUAACUUUCCUUUUUUUUUCCCUUUAAAAAUAUGAAGUUUCAUAACUUAUCAAAAAGAGGUCCAAAUUGUACAUUUAUACCAAUAAAUUUGAAUACUACAAGUUUUUCUCUUGCAACUAAUACACACACAUAUACUACAGUUUUGCCCCAUACAAAUCGAAUAACAAUGAGUAUAGUUUUGACCCUUCCAUGUAUAGAAAUUAAAUAAAAAUUAGUUUGAUUCAAUUCAAAGAGUUAAGUUUCUAUAUUGUGGACCAAAUUAAGUAUAUAUAAUCAGACUCUUUUAAUUCUUAAUUAUACUAGAUUAUCCUCUUAGUUUAUUUUAUUUCAAUUUAGACAUGAAUAUUUUCAUUACAAUGUGAAUAAUAAAAAUAUCUUAAAAGUGAAGUCAUAUUUGGUUCUUUAUUAGACCUUACUUUUCAACUUUUGUAACGAUCCAACCAAUGACCUCAUUAUUGGCCAUGAAUGAAAUCUUGAAUUCUAAUUUUUAAGUAAAAUGUAACUUAUGAUAUUUUAGAUUAAUACAAGUUAACAAUUAUUAACUAUCAUUAGUUAUGAUUGAUUAAAAAUUGAAAUGUAGUAAUAGAAUAUGAUAUUACAAAAUGUUCACAUCAUAUUUCUUUCUUAAAAAAUAAUCUUGUUUAUACCAAACUCGAAUUCAAAAUCUCAUCUGAUAUAUUUUGAAGAUAUCAUCUAAUUUAGUUGGUGUUAGUGUAGAUUUUGAUUAUAUGAGCUAGGAUAAUUCUUCAAAUUGAAUCAAAGUCUAUUCCAAACCAAUCUCACUUCACAUCACUAUUAAUAAAGCACCAAACUUGUAAAACUAGGUCAAGAGGUAUUCUUGACAAAUAUUCCUUCAAUAAUCAAUUGAAUUCUUAGGUUUGGACUGGCUGAUGAAUAUUGAAGUGAAAUCAUAUCUUAAGAGUACAUGAGAGUCCUUUUUAUGGGUGAUACUAAGGAUGAUUAUUCCUAGAAUCACCGAUCACUUAGGCUAGUCGAUCACGAGUUCAAAUUAUCUAUCAUUUGGCCACAUAUCACCCCUUUAUGAGUAUAUAUCUUACUACCUGACCAUCAUCUGUCAAACGCGUGUGAUCCCCAUGCUCUUUGAUAAUCGACCCAUUGGCUUCUUGGCCACGUGUCGCAUUGUGGCAAUGUUGUAUUUGACAUGUCACUUGUCACCUAUCACUAGCCCCCCAUUUCUAAGUUGAUAGAUUAUAGGGCUAUAGAGCUAAGAAGUGCUCUGGCCUAUGAUUUUUACACUGAUAGCGAGUUUGUUCAUCAUCGUUUUGACAUAUGUCAUUGGAAUGCAUGUUGUGUCCAUUAAAGCUAUUCUAUCCAUUCAGUGUGUUUGACGCAUUCAGUCCAUUUGACCCAUUCCGUUGGUUAGGGUCGUUCAGCUCGUUCAAUCAAUUUGACAUGUUAGGCUUUUUAGGAUUUAACCUAGAUGGUACCACGAAGUUUUCUUAAGAUAUCUUAGUUGCCCUCUCUCUAACGCUAAUAUAUUAGUAUAAAUUUUAAUUGUCUGAAUUGAGAUGAUAACUUAGAUCCAACUGAGAUUCAUUGCAAGUUAGUCUUACUCUAGGAAACCUACAAAUGCCCCAUCGUAGAUCAAGUCAGACUUGUUGGCCAAUAAUAAAGUCAAGUUGGAUCCUCGAAGUGUACCUAGAGUCCCUUUUAUUAGUAACUCUGAGAAUGAUUAUGUCCGGAAUCAUUGAUGGUAAGAGAGGAAUAUGUGCCACAUUCAGACUGAGACUUGGCAUGAUAUUCAUCGAACCUUGUGUUCACAUAGGUUGGUUGUGCUAAUCAUGGGUUUGGACGAUCGACUAUUCAUCCACGUAUUAUCUCAUGCUGAGUGUGCAUCUCAUGAUUCCAUCAUCACCUAUCUAUCACAUAUGAUCCUCAUGCUCUUUGGUUGUCAACCUUGUGGCCAUGUGUCACUACACGGUGAUGUUAUAUUCGAUAUAUUACUCUUUAUGCUGAAAAAAAAUUUGAUAGUUGAUCACUAGACUCAAAAUUCUACAUUCGUUAGUGGUGCGUUGGCCAUGUCUCGCCGCAUGAUAGUGUUAUAUUCAAUGUCACACCCUUCACCUGUCAGAUAAAGACUUUAAUAGUUCCUCCCAAAAUUUUAGACUUAAAUUCCACAUUAAUCACUUAUUCUCAAAAAAAAAAUCUGGUUAAGAUCGCAACCACUGCUUCGGUUACAAUUAUCCCUUCUAUUUUUAUAACAGAACAAAUAGGGUAAACAGUGUGCGAGUCGAUCAGUCGGUGGACUGCCUUCAUUCCACCGACUUACACCAUCAUGAGAUCCUCUUAAUUUUCAAAUUAUAAUAAUUAUAAUUUAAAAAAUAUGAAUAACAUUAAAUAAAAAUAAACAAAAAAAUCAGCCAUAACGCGUAAAGGUCAAAGUCAAAGUACCCAUGACCCAUGGACUGGGACACGUGGAGGCAAGAAAGCAUCACAACAGACUCGAGAACGAGCCCACUCGAUUGGACCAUUCAGGGCGGGAUUAAUUGAAAGAAACAACGAGCGAGACAGUCAGCAGGUCCACUAAACUGGAAGCAUUCUUCAUGCUUUGAAAUCAAAACAUGAGUCUAACAUGAUCAACCAAAUUGGACUCAACACUUGUGAUCGAGAAGAAUAGGGUGCCGCCAUGUUCGUACAAGUAAAUGGUUGAUGUGAUCCGGGAGAGAGCAAGGCAUAUAAAUGCUUCAUAACAAGGGAACGUCUCUUACAAGUUCUCCAUUGACAGGUUCUCUUCCUGCUUAGAAUUGGUCCAAUGUUUUCCGGCUUCCACAUACCUCAGGAAAUUGAGUAAAGAACUCUAUUUAAGCGACUUCAAGUCGGCACGACUCUCUUCGCAUCCAAUGUUAAUGUAGCGCUAUGAGCAAGGGAAGCAGAAGAGGGAACAAGCUGAUGCGGUACAUCAAGGCCCCUUAUCGAGCACUGCUUCGUGCCCGGGACUUGUACGUGAACAGCAUGGCCGGAUGCGCCGGCAGGGCCCAGCGCGGGCCGACGAUCAUCGCGAUGCCACGCGCCCAGAGCCGCAGCUUCCACCGCCCGCAAAUGAGCAGCGGCGAGGACGACAUCAACGAGCUCAUCCGCGCUGCGUCGAGGAGCAGGCUGCGGUCCGUCGAGGGAGCGGCGGUUCCGAGGAGUCACAGCGUGGCGGGGAUGACGAUUGACGAGGACAAGCCAUGCAACUUUGAGGGCGACGUCAAGGUGGCCUUGGGCCCGAGGAGCCGGAGCUGCGACGUCGUCUCCAAGAGGAGGGCGGGGUUUACAACAAACGCCGUAAGCAGCAUCCGAAGCUUCUAAUACCAAGAGUGGAAGCACCAAAUGCAGCAAUUCCAUGUCGUUGUGGUUUCUAUUACUCGUGUUCGUGAACUCGAUUCGAUACUUUCUCUCCUCUUCUUCUCCUGUCAUGUUUCUGUUCACUCGUGAAUGUUUGGGCUGCCUGCUUACCUCAUUCCAUCUACACGAACGGAAUGUUCAUAUGGCAUCUCGGUAUCAUUUCCCUCAAAAUUUGAGCCUACAUUUGAAGCAUUUUCAUUAUAUAUAUAUAUAUAUAUAUAUAUAUAUAUAUAUAUAUAUAUAUAUAUAUAUAUAUANNNNNNNNNNNNNNNNNNNNNNNNNNNNNNNNNNNNNNNNNNNNNNNNNNNNNNNNNNNNNNNNNNNNNNNNNNNNNNNNNNNNNNNNNNNNNNNNNNNNNNNNNNNNNNNNNNNNNNNNNNNNNNNNNNNNNNNNNNNNNNNNNNNNNNNNNNNNNNNNNNNNNNNNNNNNNNNNNNNNNNNNNNNNNNNNNNNNNNNNNNNNNNNNNNNNNNNNNNNNNNNNNNNNNNNNNNNNNNNNNNNNNNNNNNNNNNNNNNNNNNNNNNNNNNNNNNNNNNNNNNNNNNNNNNNNNNNNNNNNNNNNNNNNNNNNNNNNNNNNNNNNNNNNNNNNNNNNNNNNNNNNNNNNNNNNNNNNNNNNNNNNNNNNNNNNNNNNNNNNNNNNNNNNNNNNNNNNNNNNNNNNNNNNNNNNNNNNNNNNNNNNNNNNNNNNNNNNNNNNNNNNNNNNNNNNNNNNNNNNNNNNNNNNNNNNNNNNNNNNNNNNNNNNNNNNNNNNNNNNNNNNNNNNNNNNNNNNNNNNNNNNNNNNNNNNNNNNNNNNNNNNNNNNNNNNNNNNNNNNNNNNNNNNNNNNNNNNNNNNNUUUCCUUACAAUAAUAAUAAUGAUAAGAACCUUGCGUCCCAAGUAGGCUCACGUGAUUGACAUAAAUGACUCAAAUUGGGAACGGAUGAAAACUCCUCCUAUUGCAUGUUCAUGAAUCAGAUAUGGAUGAUAUGGCACCACUUUUCCAUUGCCGUCCCACGCACAUCAUCCACGGUUUCCACAGAGACUGGUAGAAGUAAAAUUGCCAACUCAUCUACCUCCCUCUAUCAAUAUAUAUUAUCUAAUCACGUUCUUGCAUCACGUGUUCUGCGACCAUCAACCGGAGACUUUGACAAUUAUGAACCAUUCCAACACGUCUAAAUACACGUAAGAUUCAUCGGGAUGGCAUAAUCUCUUGUUAAGUCAACGGGCUUUACCUCCCUUCUUUUAUAUGAAUUUUUUUCUGACUACUAAUUAUUAUGUAAAUAGUGAUCAAGAUAUCGAAUGCACCUAUAUAUACAUUACAUACCCAUACCCAGACCAACUCUGAACAGCCAUCAUGGCCGCCACCCACAUUGCCCUGUUCGCAUCCGGCCUCGCCGUCUUGCUUCUCCUAGUCCAAGGAUCGCCGCCAGGGCCCGUUGUCCGGUGCCGGUCCGGCAACACUAACUGCACCGUGACCAACGGCUAUGGAGCCUUUCCUGAUCGCAGCACCUGCCGCGUCGCCGCGGUCGCGUACCCUUCGACCGAACAGGAGCUCCUGUUAGCUGUCUCCGACGCCACCGAGAAGCAGCAGCACAUGAAGGCUGUCACGAUGUACUCCCACAGCAUCCCCAAGCUGUCGUGCCCCGGCGGGCCGAGCGGCCAGGGCCUGGUCAUUAGCACCCAGCUCCUCAACAGAUCGGUGAGCGUGGACAUGGCCACCUCGCGGAUGACGUUCGAGGCAGGGAUCACACUUAGGGCGCUCCUUGACGCGGCGGCCGCCCGUGGCCUGGCGCUACCCCACUCGCCGUACUGGCAAGGGAUCACGCUCGGCGGGCUGCUGAGCACCGGUUCGCAUGGGAGCUCGGUGUUCGGGAAGGGCUCGGCGGUGCACGAAUAUGUGGUAGGGAUGAGGCUGGUGGUUCCAAGUCCGGUACCGGUGAACGGGUACUACGCCAAGAUCGUUAAUCUUGGUGAGGAUAAUCCUGAUCUCUUGGCUGCCAAGGUUUCUCUCGGUGUUCUUGGAGUCAUUUCUCAGGUAUGUGUGUGGUGACCUACGUGUUGUUCUUUGUUCUUUACACGGUUUGAGAUCCAUGUGAUAACUCAUCUUAGUUCUUCAUGGUGGUUCUUCCAACCACGUCAAGUGCUUUCAUAAGCUGAGUACAUGACUCGCCACGUCUCGAUGCUAAUUAGGUGCAACUAUAUCUUUAAUUCUUCAUGAUAUAAUAGAGAUCAUCCUACUGUUAUUAGCAACGCUGAAUACAUCCUAUCGUCAGCAAAAUGUCGAGACAGAAAAAAAGAACUUGUUUUCUAUCAAAUCACUUUACAAAGGAAGACUUGUUCUUUUCCUCGAAUCUAGAAAGUUACGUAAAUAAUAGGCUGUUGAUGAUCCCAGUGGACUUUACUUUUAAUCUUUCCUUCUUUUCUUGCUUUGCUUGUCUUCCUUGUUUCAAAAAGGGCUGAUGCAAACCGUUGAACCGUUCUAAUGAUUCCAUGUACCUUCCCUCGUCGUUUAUCGUAACUACACAACAUAAUUGAGUGUUAUGGAACAUAUGAGCACAUGCAAACCCACAUAGACAAAGAUCAGAGAAAAAGCAAACUUUGCAAUAACAGCUACAGUGACGUUGAUGAUGACUCGGGGUAAAUGAGAGUGCCCCUUCCUUCACAUAUGGAGCCUCGCGCAAGGCAAGAGGCAGGCAGGUCCAUGCUGCCUUGCCUUGCAGAGCUUACGACCGGGCCCGCUAAUUGCCUUAAAAGCCUCAGUAACAAUUAUUAGGUUGAAGGACGAUAGGGGAUGUCAGUAGUAGUAGUUCUUGUUUCAGUCUUAUUGCCUGAAUAGCUGAAAAGAGUUGACUUGCAAUACAUGUAAGCUUUUGUUCUUCUGCUUCAUUAUAAGUAACCUAAGAAUUACUUGAACCGAUCGCGCAGGUCACCCUCCAACUUGAGCCAAUGUUCAAGCGAUCCAUCACCAACAGGGUCGUAAGCGACGUUGGCUUCGAGCAAACCAUCUCCUCGUACGCUGCCGCUACAUACUAUGGGGACAUCAGCUGGUAUCCGUCACAACGCAGAGUGGUGUACCGAGAUGAUAUCAAGGUCCCCAUCACCACCAAAGGAAAGGGUGUCAACGACUACUUAGGGUUCCGAGCUCAGCCCACCCUUGUCGUAGCCUCUCUACGUGCUUCAGGUCUUAUAAAUUGCAGUUUUUAUUUUGCUUGUCAAUCUUGAUGUAGUGUUCGAGAAGUAUUGUGAACACAUUUACAUCGACAUUUCGUCCGAGAUUUAUACUAAGAAGGCAUCUUUUGUCCUCUACCAUGUGUUUGUGUCAAUGACUGCAGAGGAACUAUUGGAAGCAACGGGAAAUGCGGAAGGCAAAUGUGUGCUGUUCAGAUUGCAAGUAGAUACUUUGAUUGCGAUCGGCAUGGGCUUUAAGAACAAUGACGGCGGCUUGUUAGAAUUCACUGGCUAUCCGGUCAUUGGAAACCAAAGCGACAUGCAAUCCGCUGGUAGGUUCUCAAAUUAUCCGAGGAAUGUCUGCAUGUAUGAAUGAUAACUCUUGACGAUAAUGCUUCAUCACAAUAAUGACACAUGUAAUGCCCGGAUUUAUUUAGUUUGAGUCAUCUUCUCUCCAGGUUCAUGCCUAAGGAGUGCAGAAGACAACCUUCUUACAGCCUGUGGCUGGGACCCUCGUUUUGCGGGGCUCUUCUACCACCAAACCACGAUAAGCAUCCCCUUCACCACCAUCGCUGGCUUCAUCGCCGACGUCAAGAAGCUCCGCGACGCCCAUCCCGACGCACUCUGCAGCACCGAGCUGUACUUGGGCUUCUUCAUGCGCUUCGUCCGCAACUCCACAGCUUAUCUUGGCAAAACCGACGACGUGGUGGACAUCGACAUCACAUACUAUCGUUCCAAGGAUCCAAAAAAGCCGCGACUCUACGAGGAUGUGCUCGAGGAGAUCGAACAGAUGGCCUUGUUCAAGUACAAUGCGCUGCCGCACUGGGGGAAGAAUAGAAAUGUCGGCUUCCUCAAUGUCAAGAACAAGCUGGGGGCUAAGUUGGACAAGUUUGUGAGUGUGAUGCAGAAGUAUGACAGCAAUGGAUUGUUCUCUUCAGACUGGACCGAUGCGGUACUGGGACUGCGAGGGAAGGAAGUUGUGGUGCAGGGUGAUGGUUGUGCACUGGAGGGGCUGUGCAUUUGCUCCACUGAUGACCACUGCGCUCCUAAACAAGGCUAUUAUUGUCGACCUGGAGAAGUCUACGAACAGGCUCGAGUGUGCAGGAAGAUUAAAUCCGUGGAAGCUGAUGGUUAGGUUUAUUUCUGUGUCGCUUCCUCUUCGAAUAAAGGAUGUAAUGUCAGUCAAUAAUUACUACAUAGUUUAUUAUUGUAAUAUUAAAGCAAGCGUCGAUAAAUGCAAUAUUGUAUGGGAGGCAGAUUGCAUUCCUCCUGAUUUAUCUGUGCAACUCCAAGAUGACUUAUGCAAGUCAUUCUAUAGAACUAUAAUGUGUUAAUAAAUUUCUUUUGGGCAAAAAAAUUAGGACAUAAUUUCUCAUUGUUUUUAAUUGCAAGAUCCCAUUGUGAAGGAAAGGAACACUCUCCAGUAUCCGUUGCAUGAAAGGGACGAGGAAGCAAGAAAUAACAGUGCCAUUAUUAAUGCCAUCGUGUGGAGAGACGUAGUAUGUUAACGCGAUAUUCUUCGCUAUCAUUCCUUAAAAUAAGAAUGAUGAUUAAUGAUAAUAACCUGCGACUCACGUAAACGUUCUGAUUAAUUUUACAUUAAUCACACUUGAACCACGUUUCGUGACACAAAUGACAUGGUAGUUCACACCGGUUGCAUUUCAAAUUUUUGACUCAAAGCUCGUCCUAUGGAUCGCGAGAAUAAACCAUAUGGUAAGAAGCUACGUAAAUAUGGAAAUCACAAAGAAUGGUGAUUACUGUAAUUAAGCCUUCCUCGAUCCCCCCCAACCCCAAGAAACUACUGCUCUCUCUAAAUAACUCUACGGCGCAGCAUCCAAUCUCCUUUUUGUUCCUUUCUCAUCCUCGUAAUAUAAUUUAGAGAUAGGAAGUGGUCGCGCCAUGAGCAAGGGAAACAGCAGCGAGAGCAAGCUGAGCCAGUGCAUCAAGGCCCCCGACCUGGCUCUGCGACAUACCCGGGACUUGUGCGAGAGCAGCAUGGCCGGGACUGAUAAUAUAUGUAUACACGAUAAUCUCAUGUAAGCUCGUUCAUCUACACCAAAUACUAGUUUUAGAUCGGGCAUGACAUCCUGAAGGAAUGAUUGUUUAAUUGACGACAGUGUUUAUUUACGUGUGGAUUUGACGUGCUUGUUUCCAUCUUUAAAAAGGAAAAUUCAAAUUCUUUUAAAAAAAAACUGUCAACUUAAUUUUUCAAAUAGCUCUUCAAAAAAUUCUCAUUGAGUAUUUUUUUUUUUCAAAAAGACUAUUCUAUAUCAAUCGGUCAUCGCCUCCGCCUCGUAUCACUUCUGAACACGUAUCAGAGUAUUUUUUUCAAAAAGUUUCUUCUAAGCGUGAGACAAUGUAUCACUUCUGAACACGUAUCAGAGUAAAUCCAGGCCAUUGCAGUUUGCAACUUCUUCUUUCUUUUCCUGAUCCAAUUCUUACAGUUGUUGGUGAUCAUCCGCAAUUUCUUCCCAGUAUAUGUUCCCCUUGUAGCUCAAGCAAUAUCCGAAGGUAACUUUAGCUAUAAAUUUCGUUUGGUUUGGAAGUUCAAGAAAAAAUAGUCACUCUUAUGUCCAAAGUUAUUGACAGAAAUGAGGUGGUCUCAUUAACUAUGCUUUGAUACUAUGGACUACGGUCAAGAAUUUGAAGCUGUCUGGCAACAUUUACAAGUGAGAAUGGAACGGAUAAAUGAAAUCAAAAGUACCCAUUUGGACUGCACAAGAAAAACCUUUAUGACUGACGUUUUGAACUGUUCAUAUGAGGUAGUCACUGUUAACUCACAUCCACGUUCAAGAAAAGGAUGUGCUACAGUCUCCUAGCGGUGGCAAUUCCAUGAUUGUCCACCGAGGAUGCUUAUUAUUCUUAUUCGCAAGCAGUUCGUCUGAGAAAUUAACUCAGAAGCCUCGUAUUGUGCUUCUGCUCAACCAAAGAAAGAGAUCAGAAGUGGAGAUAGAAGAUCCAUGGAGCAGGACGAUCCCAAUUACCUCUUCCAGGCCUAAAUUGUAGAGUAAGUUGAUCUCUGUCAUAACCAAGUCUUGGCAGCGAUCUCCAAAGAGUUCCAUGCAUCUCGGCCAUGUAGUCGGCAACGAAGCGACGUGAUGGCAUUGAAUUCAGUGUACUCUCUGUGCAGUCACCUUACUCGGCAUCCAUGCAACCGUUCUUCCUUUAUUUUCAAAGAUAAUGAUUACUGAUUUCUUCGAGGGGAAGUGCUUCUAAAUGUGCUCGUGCAAUUGAUUCUCUUCUCAAUCGAUCUUGAUGUGCCAUGCGAUCAAACUCACAUUACGGUGUUCGUGAACAGACGUUGAAGAUCAUGGAAGGAGUAUUUUGUUUGCUGUGAUUGUGUGGAGAGAAACACACGAGGCAAGGGAAGUCCCUGUGUAGUCGGAGAAGGCAACGGAUGGCUUGGCUUUUUCUUCCCUGUAAAGGUGGAAGACGAGAUGGCCAGAUGAUCUAAUAUUAUAUUGCAGUGUUGCGUCUGUCCGUGGUUGUAGGAGUGUCCUACAAAAACAAUAACAGCUUGUUACUAAGACAUGUUCUAUAAACAAUCAAAACAAUUAAAUAUUACACGCAUUAUAUUAAGACCAGCAGAAAAUGUCUUACGUGAUUAAGUAAUUUAGUAUCUGAUAUGGGACUGACAUAUAAAUCAAAUUCUUUUAAAGUAGAAGAAUCUGAAAUAUUUUUUCUUUGUUUUUCUCAAAUAACCUAUUCAAUCUUAUUUCAUAUGCGAACCCAUUAGUUCAUCAAAUAAAAAUAUAGAUAAAUCUUUUGACUCUUAUAACAAUAUGAUCAAAUUUCGGAGUUAAACUUUUCAAAACUUUUAUAACAAUUAUAUGAUAAGGAAGAUGUACACCAUAAAAUUUUAUUUAACUAACAAUAUCAAUCACUUGUGAAAGAAAAUCUUACAUCGAUUCAUUAUUUUUCAUGAAUAAAUUUUAAAUUCACCACGAAGGGUUUAAAGUUUUACUGUAAUCACCCUUGUUGAGCCUUGAAAUUCAUUUUGAAGUAUCAAUCAAACUUGCUUUAAGGUUAUUGCUAUUGUAAUUCUUGAGAAAAUUAUUUCAUGUAUAGCUUGUUGAAUGAACAACAAUGCCUUUGAGUUCUUAUUUCUAUUCUUCCUCAGCCUGAUUUUUUUAUGUAGACCUACAUAUCCAUUCUCUAUUAAGUCCCAAAGAUCUUGAGACUUGAAUAAAAUAUUUAUCUUGAUACUCUAAAAUUCAUAGCAUUUGUCCGAGAAGAUGGAAAUAAGGGGUUGAGACAUAAAAUUAUUAUUAAAAGUCAUAAUACCCAAUUCGGAUUGAAAACUUAGCUAUGAUACCAUAAAUGUUGAGGAUGAAGGAAUAAGGAAAUGAUAAAAACAGAAUACUAUGAUAUAAUUAAAAAAAAUAUUUUGAUCAAGAAAAUCGUUGUAGUAUUUAAAUAAGAUAUAAGAUAUGAACACUUACAAGAUAUUCUCAAGUGCACACUCUUUAUCUUAUUUCAUGAAUUAAGGUCUUAUUUAUAGGACAUAGUGGUAACUACCUCACUCCAUCAUGUCACCCGUGAUUGAAUUAGGUGUAGAAACUACCUUAUAAUUUUUAGAUCAUGGGUCAUUAUUUAAAAUAUGUCCACAACUAUUUAAAACAUGAUAACUAUCUAGAUAACUACUAUGAAUCAUUAAUUUUACGUUACUGUUUUCUUCGAGCGGAAGUGCUUCUAAAUGUGCUCGUGCAAUUGAUUAUCUUCUCAAUCGAUCUUGGUGUGCCAUUCGAUCAAACUCACGGUAUGGUGUUCGUGAACAAACGUUGAAGAUCAUGGAAGGAGUUUUUUUUUUGCUUGCUUGACGUAAUUGUGUGGAGAGAAACACACGAGGCAAGGGAAGUCCCUGUGUGGCCGGAGAAGGCAACGGAAGAUCAAGUGCAAGACAACCGAUGGCUUGGCUUUUUCUUCCCUGUAAAGGUGGAAGACGAGAUGGAUAGAUGAUCUAAUAUUAUAUUGCAUUGUUGAGGGUAUCCAAUCAUUGUACAUCUGUCCGUAGCCGUAGGAGUGUCCUAAAAAAGCAAUAACAGCUUGUUACUAAGACAUGUUUUAUAAACAAUCAAAACAAUUAAAUAUUACACGCAUUAUAUUAAGGCCGGCAGAAAAUGACUACUACUUUUCGAUACUCUCUUGUGUUGUGCUUACGUGAUUAUAGUAUGAUAUGAGACUGACAUAUGACCAACACUUCAGUAACGUACGACCUACACCUCAACCGGAGGAUCUCAUCCAAGCAAUGCAUAGUAGGCACUUUGACACUCAACGGUAGGAAUCUAAAGCUCUUCAACCCCUAAUGUAUGGAAUUUGAGGUGACUUCGUAAUUUUCUUUUACAAAUUUUAAUAAAUAUAUAUUUCUCUCUAAAUAUUAUUAUCAUUCAAAUAAAUCCUUCACAUUAACGUUCUUUAAAAAGAAACCAAGAUAACCACAAUAAUCAUGGUUUUCUUCAAUUGACCAUUUGACUUCAAACCAAUUUUUAACAUAAAAUAUUUUAUAUAUCUUACUAUCUUAAUAAGGCUUGUAAAAUGUAUCAAUGUCGCUCUAAUGGUGAAAUAACAGACAUGGAGAAUAAUUUUACAGUCUCCAUAUAUAAAUAAAAAAAUCACUCUAUGUAUAAGAACACACAAAGGUAUAAUUACACUAAAAACAAUACAAUUAUCGAUGCCCCUCGCAAAAAUAUUUUAUAUCGGUUGUAUUUAAUCGGCUCACGUCGAUCAAGGUUUGUGUUUUGUCGUUAAAUCAAUCAAGUUGUCCAUUUGAUAUCAUUCAUUUACGUGCAUUUGUCCAUCAAAUAAUAAUAGUUGGACCAUGAGUUGGCUAUCUUAUCUUCCUGCCCAUCAAAACCCUUCCAUGAUGUGGCAUCGAAUAAACUUACGAUUAAAACAUGAUGAAUCAACCCUUACAAUUUAUAACAAAUAAUUGGACCGAUUCUUCCAAAUUUUAUAGUCCCAUCGUGAGGGAUGCAUGACCAAACAACCUCGCCCACAGCAUUUGACGCAGCCAUCACUAACCUUAUCGCUUUUAAAUGCAUAGUAUGGUAAAAAUAAUGAUAAUAAACUCGCGUCACAAGUUGAUAUUUUUAUUGGUUUUAGUCAAUUUCCACUUGAAGCACGUGAAUGACGUAAAUGACAUUACAGUUCGCAUUGCGUACGCAUCUAACUCUUUUGACUGGAAGCUCCUCCAAUUGCAUGUCCAUGAAUCAGAUAUGGAUGAUAUGGUACCACUUUUCCAUUGUCUUCCCACGCACAUCAUCCACGGUUUCCACACAGACUAGUAGAAGUAAAAUUGCCAACUCAUCUACCUCCAUCUAUCAAUAUAUUAUAUAAUCUCGUUCUUGCAUCGCGUGUUCUGCGACCAUCAACCGGAGACAUUAACAAUUAUGAGCCAUUCCAACACGUCUAAGUACACGUCAGAUUCAUCGGGAUGGCAUAAUCUCUUGAUAAGUCAAUGGGCUUUACCUCCCUUAUUUUAUCUGAAUUUUUUUCUGACUGUGUAAACAAAUUCACCUAUAUAUACAGACAUGCCCGGAUCAACUCUGGACAACCAUCAUGGCCGCCACCCACAUUGCCCUGUUCGUUUCCGGCCUUGCCGUCUUGCUUCUCCUCGUCCAAGGAUCGCCGCCAGGGCCUGUUGUCCAGUGCCGGUCUGGCAACACUAACUGCACCGUGACCAACGGCUAUGGAGCCUUUCCUGAUCGCAGUACCUGCCGCGUCGCCGCGGUCGCGUACCCUUCGAACGAACAGGAGCUCCUGUUAGCUGUCUCCGACGCCACCGUGAAGCAGCAGCACGUGAAGGCGGUCACGGUGUACUCACACAGCAUCCCCAAGCUGUCGUGCCCCGGCGGGCCGAGCGGCCAGGGCCUGGUAAUCAGUACCCAGCGCCUCAACAGAUCGGUGAGCGUGGACUUGGCCACCUCGCGGAUGACGUUCGAGGCAGGGAUCACACUUAGGGCGCUCCUUGACGCGGCGGCCGCCCGUGGCCUGGCGCUGCCCCACUCGCCGUAUUGGCAAGGGGUGACGCUGGGCGGGCUGCUGAGCACCGGCUCACACGGGAGCUCGGUGUUCGGGAAAGGCUCGGCGGUGCACGAAUAUGUGGUAGGGAUGAGGCUGGUGGUUCCAAGUCCGGUCCCGGUGAACGGAUCCUACGCCAAGAUCGUUAAUCUUGGUGAGGACGAUCCUGAUCUCUUGGCUGCCAAGGUUUCUCUCGGUGUUCUUGGAGUUAUUUCUCAGGUAUAUAUGCGGUGACCUACUUGUUAUUCUUUGUUCUUUACACGGUUUGAGAUCCAUGUGAUAACUCAUCUUAGUUCUUCACGGUGUUUCUUCCAACCACGUCGAGUACUUUCAUAAACUGAGUACAUGACUUGCUACGUCUCGAUGCUAAUUAGGUGCAACUCUAUAUUUAAUUGUUCAUUCUAUUGUUAGUAUCAAGACUUUGUUUGCACUACGUCAGCAAAAUGUCGAGACAAAAAAAAACUUGUUUUCAGUCAAAUCACUUUGCGAAGGAAGACUUGUUCUUUUCCUCCAAUAUAUAAAGUUAUGUAAAAUAAUUGGCAGUUGAUGAUCCCAAUGGACUUUAGUUUUAAUCUUCCCUUCUUUUCUUGCUUUGCUUGUAUUCCUUUUUUGAAAAUGGGCUAAUGCAAACGUUUGAAUCGUUCUAUUGAUUCCAUGUACCUUCCCUCCUAGUUUGUAGUAACUACAUAGCACAGUUGAGUGUUAUGGAACAUAUGAGCACAUUCAAACCCACAUGGACAAAGAUCAGAGAAAAAGCAAACUUAAAUGAGAGUGAAGGCAUGAUUUGAAGCCAUCAUUUUACAUCUAUGGUUGUUCCAUCUAGUUAUAUCUUAUAGAUGUAGAGUUUUUUUCUUGGAAGAACAGCUACAGUGACGUUGAUGAUGACUCGGGGUAAAUGAGAGUGCCCCUUCCUUCACAUAUGGAGCCUCGCGCAAGGCAAGAGGCAGGCAGGUCUACGCUGCCUUGCCUUGCAGAGCUUACGACCGGGCCCGCCAUUGCCUUAAAAGCCUCAGUAACAAUUAUUAGGUUGAAGGACGAUAGGGGAUGUCAGUAGUAGUAGUUCUUGUUUCAAUCUUGUUGCCUGAAUAGCUGAAAAGAGUUGGUUUGCAAUACAAGUAAGCUUUUGUUCUGCUGCUUCAUUAUAAGUAACCUAAGAAUUACUUGAACCGAUCGCGCAGGUCACCCUCCAACUUGAGCCGAUGUUCAAGCGAUCCAUCACCAACAGGGUCGUAAGCGACGUUGGCUUCGAGCAAACCAUCUCCUCGUACGCUGUCACUACUCACUAUGGAGACAUCAUCUGGUAUCCAUCACAAGGCAGAGUGGUGUAUCGAGAUGAUAUCAAGGUCCCCAUCACCACCAAAGGAAAGGGUGUAAACAACUUCUUAGGGUUCCGAGCGCAGCCCACCCUUGUCAUAGCCUCUACACGUGCUUCAGGUGUUAUAAAUUGCAGCUUUUAUUUUGCUUGACAAUCUUGAUGUAGUGUUCGAGUAGUAUCGUACUUGAUUUAUACUAACAAGGCAUCUCUUGUCCUCUACGAUGUGUUUGUGUUUAUGACUGCAGAGGAACUAUCGGAACUAACAGGAAAUGCCGAAGGCAAAUGCGUGCUGUCCAGAUUGCAAGCGGAUACUCUGAUUGCGACCGGCAUGGGCCUUAAGAACAAUGAUGGCGGCUUGUUAGAUUUCACCGGCUAUCCGGUCGUUGGAAACCAAAGCGACAUGCAAUCCGCUGGUAGGUCCUCAAAUUAUUCCAGGAAUGUAUAUAAUGACACAUGUAACACCUGAAUUAUUUAGUCUGAGUCAUCUUCUCUCCAGGUUCAUGCCUACGGAGUGCAGAAGACAAACUUCUCACGGCUUGUGGAUGGGACCCUCGUUUUGCGGGGCUCUUCUACCACCAAUCCGCGAUAAGCAUCCCCUUCACCACCAUCGCUGACUUCAUCGCCGACGUCAAGAAGCUCCGCGACGCCCACCCCAACGCACUCUGCGGCACCGAGCUGUACUUGGGCUUCUUCAUGCGCUUCGUCCGCAGCUCCACAGCCUAUCUUGGCAAAACCGACGACGUGGUGGACAUCGACAUCACUUACUAUCGUUCCAAGGAUCCAAAACGGCCGCGACUCUACGAGGAUGUGAUCGAAGAGAUCGAACAGUUGGCCUUGUUCAAGUACAAUGGGUUGCCCCACUGGGGGAAGAAUAGAAACGUCGGCUUCCUCAAUAUCAAGAACAAGUUGGGGGCCAAGCUGGACAAGUUUGUGAGUGCCAUGCAAAAAUAUGACAGCAAUGGAUUGUUCUCUUCAGAUUGGACCGAUGCGGUGCUGGGACUGCGUGGGAAGGAAGUUGUGGUGCAGGGAAAUGGUUGCGCAUUGGAGGGGUUGUGCAUUUGCUCCACUGAUGACCACUGUGCUCCUAAACAGGGCUAUUAUUGUCGACCUGGAGAAGUCUAUGAUCAGGCUCGAGUGUGCCGGAAGAUUAAAUCCGUUGAAGCUGAUGGUCAGGCAGACAGCUUGUGAUACCGUUCACAUUCAUUUGCUGUAAGGUUUGUAUCGGUGUCACUUCCUCUUUGAACAGACGAUGUAAUG